rnacentral:rRNA from 1 species
UACGUAGGCAGCGAGCGUUGUUCGGAAUUACUGGGCGUAAAGAGUGUGUAGGCGGUGUUCCCAGUCUGUUGUGAAAUCUCCCGGCUUAACUGGGAGGGUGCAGCGGAAACUAGAAUGCUAGAGGGUGGGAGAGGUAAGCGGAAUUCCUGGUGUAGCGGUGAAAUGCGUAGAGAUCCGGAAGAACACCGGUGGCGAAGGCGGUCUGCUGGGCAGUUGCUGACACUGAGGCGCGACAGCGUGGGGAGCAAACAGG